ACUAAUGCUCUCCUGCACGCACCCAACAGACCCUGCAUGGUAUCAGACCUGGCCAGGCCCUGGGAGCAAGCCCUCUGCAAGCACAAAGAUCCCUGCCUCCCAGCACACCCAGAACUGGUCAGCCACGUGGACCAAGGACAGCAAGCGUCAGGACAAGCGCUGGGUCAAGUACGAGGGAAUCGGGCCCGUGGAUGAGAGCGGCAUGCCUAUUGCCCCCCGAUCCAGUGUUGACAGACCCAGAGACUGGUACCGGAGAAUGUUCCAGCAGAUUCACCGGAAAAUGCCAGACCUGCAGCUGGACUGGACCUUCGAGGAGCCACCCAGAGACCCCAGGCAUCUAGGAGCCCAGCAAAGACCUGCCCACAGACCCGGCCCGGCAGCAUCUUCCAGUGGAAGAAGCUGGGACCACUCUGAAGAGUUACCUAGAAGCACCUUCAACUACAGACCUGGAGCAUUCUCCACUGUGCUGCAGCCCCCAAAUCAGGUGCUCAGACGCCGGGAAAAAGUAGACAAUGUCUGGACGGAAGAGUCCUGGAACCAGUUUCUGCAGGAACUAGAGACUGG
rnacentral:sRNA from 1 species